GCAAACUUGGUCAUUUAGAGGAAGUAAAAGUCGUAACAAGGUUUCCGUAGGUGAACCUGCGGAAGGAUCAUUAAUGAAGUUUGAUGAAAUAUUGUUUAAUAUUUCAACUUCUCAUCCUUUGUCUAAAUAUUAUCUUGUUUGCUUCGGCAUGUCAGUCAUCUUGACGGUCGGUCGGUGUUCUCACUGAUUGAUUAGUUACUGCCGAUAGCCUAUUUUAACAUUCUUUGAUAUAAAUCAUGUCUGAAAAACAUUUUUUAUGAAAAUAAAAAAACUAAAACUUUCAACAACGGAUCUCUUGGUUCUGGCAUCGAUGAAGAACGCAGC
rnacentral:misc_RNA from 1 species